rnacentral:rRNA from 1 species
CCUACGGGAGGCAGCAGUGGGGAAUAUUGGGCAAUGGGCGCAAGCCUGACCCAGCAACGCCGCGUGAAGGAAGAAGGCCCUCGGGUUGUAAACUUCUUUUAUCAGGGACGAAGCAAGUGACGGUACCUGAUGAAUAAGCCACGGCUAACUACGUGCCCGCAGCCGCGGUAAUACGUAGGUGGCAAGCGUUAUCCGGAUGUACUGGGUGUAAAGGGCGUGUGGGCGGGAAGGCAAGUCAGAUGUGAAAACCAUGGGCUCAACCUGUGGCCUGCAUUUGAAACUGUUUUUCUUGAGUGCGGGAGAGGCAGGCGGAAUUCGUGGUGUAGCGGUGAAAUGCAUAGAUAUUAGGAAGAACACCGGUGGCGAAGGCAGUCUGCUGGACAGCAACUGACGCUGAGGCGCGAAAGCGUGGGGAGCAAACAGGAUUAGAUACCCCUGUAGUC